AUGGACCCCGAGCAGCCGGCGGCCGACCCCGCCGCCGCCGCCGAGCCGGAGGAGGAGGAGGACGACGAGGAGGAGGAGGAGGAGACGGAGGCGGCCGACCCGGAGCAGGAGGCGGCGGAGGACGCGCUGCUCGACCGCGCGCAGGCCCUCAUCUCCCGCGUCGUCGAGCAGGAGGCCAACCCCAACCCGCGCCUCAUCCACACCCUCGCCACCAUCUGCGAGGACCAGGAGGCCAGGUACUCUGUCACCCAUCCCCUCCCCCUCUCCUUCCCCUUCUUCCUGCUUCCGCGGCGGGGAAUUCGGCUCCGCCCUGCUGCCGCCCGCUUUGCUGGAUUGAUCGGUCGACCGUUUGCUUGGAGAAAGGCAUAA
rnacentral:rRNA from 1 species